GAAUUACCACAAUACAACAUGGAAUGUUUCAACACCUAGAAAACUUAACUUAUAUGUACGUAUUAUGUUUUUAUAAUAUCUCCUGACACAAUACCAUACAUAAUUUUGUUAUUGUGAACCAUAAUAUUUUCACGGAUAAUUAAUUGCAAAUGUAGUUAUCUUAAGAAAUGGAAUCAGUUUCACCUUUACGUUGCUUUUUUUUUUGGUUUUUUUUUUUUAAUUUGCACUUAAGAAGCAAUAACAAUAAUUCUAGCGUAACAAACAUGUCAAUGUUAGUCUUUUCUUUUUAAUGCUGGAACACAAUUAGUAUUUGUAGGGAUUCCAGGUCGAUUUUUAAGGCAAGGUACACAAAGCAUUUAAUAAUAAUGCUUUAAUUCAUGAUUGAUUUCAACUUUCUAUGAGUUAAAUGUGAACGUGGGUUUAUUGACAUCAAGCUUUAAAGCAGUAUUAUGCUAAAUGAUACAUUUUGACCACAGCAAAUCUAACUAUGACAUGCUAAAGCAAUAUGCUUCAGAGGCCUGGUUUUCGAAAGUAUCAUAAGACAUACUUUAUGAUCAUCUUAUGAAUAUCAUACGCUUAUCAUAUGAUAGUCAUAGGAUGUAAAUCAAAACUGUCGUAAGAUAGACAUAGCUAUGAUGCUCUUAUGACUGUCAUUGGUGAACAUUAUUUUCCAAUUUUUUUUAAAUAUUGCUUUAAAAAACGAUAAAAAGAAAUAUAAAAUUGAAAAGUAUGAACAUAAUAAUUAUAACCAUUCUUAAUACUUACGAUUUUUUUUUUCAAAAUGAAAUUUUAUACGAGAAGGAAUUAAAAAUAUGAGUUGAUAAUUUGUUUAAAUUUAGUUUGUAAUAUAUAAUAAAUCUUGAACGUCUAGUUCGUAUAUAACACUAGUCUUGUUGUAUAAUUGUAAAUACUUUUGAGAAUCGGUACAUCGAGUACCCGCUUAAUGAAAUGUCCGUGCAAAUAUGUAAAAUAUAAUACUAUAUUAAUAUUAUGUAUAUUUAUUAGGCAUCAACGAGUACUCGAGUACUCGGGUACUCGAUCGGAAGGCCGACUACUCGAGUACAGUUUUAGUACUCGGAUACUCGAUUGCCUGUUAUACAUCUUGAUAUAUUUCUCUCCACAUUUCCGAUGACUUUAGUUCCGUUGAAAUAUCCCCUUUUUAAUACUAAAUAAAAUCAUAUAAUGUUAACAACAUAAAGAUGUUUAUCCUGAGUAUAUUAUUUGUUAUAGUAGUAUCAUCAACGUUCUUUCCUCCUGAAGGAAUGUUUUCUUGUGCACAACUUGUAACAAAAAAUAAAAAGUUCAACAGUCUUUUCGUCCGAAAUUGUUAACCAGAUCAUAUUUCUAAACAAGAACAAAAUCAAAGUGACCUGCGGUGAACCCUACGCAACUGAUAAGAGACAUUUUUAACGAUGUUUGCACACGGAUCUGACAACACUUUCAUAGAUUAAUAAUUAACUGAUCACAAGCCGUAAAAAAAUACCUUUGUUUGUUAAUCAAAACUUCUAUGUAAACGUGAUUGGUAUGAGAAGAUGUACAUUUAAACUAACUUAUUUACUCUGUAUUUGAAACUUAACCAUGUUAACUAUAAUUGUUUAAUUUACAAUUUAAAAUAUGCAAAAAUACGAAAGCGAUAUUCCAACCUAAAAGUCGAAAAUAAACAGGCAACGUCAUGGCUAAAAAAAUCAGACAACCGAUAGUGCAAAGAUACAAAACACAGAAAAAGUAAGACUGAACAACACGAAAAAACACAAUUAAAUUAAUCAAGUCGUAUUAUGAAAAAUACCAACUCCUCAUGAACAGACGAUACAUAUAUUAUCUACUUUGUCGGACUAAGUAUGCAAAUAUGUAGGAUUUUAUUGGAAAAUGGUUCAUGAACACGUAUAGAAAUAAUAAUUUCUAUUUUGAUUUGUAGAAACGGUGGUCGGUAAUUCAUUGUUUAAUUGACACAAAAAAGCAGAGGAUCACGCUAUUUUUGUAGUACGUUUGUCUUCCGUUAAUAUGUUUAUGAAAGGUUAUAACAAACACACUGCACGGCACAAAAUCUAAACUAUUCGAUUAGACGUUUAAAUUCAUCCGAGACUCGCGAGUAUGGAGAUAUUACUGGCACCAGUUUUUAAAGUUCAGAUCUUUUGACAUCCUUAAUAUUUAUGAUACAAAACCAUGAGUAAGAAAACACAACAAUAAUUUGUAAUGCGAUUAACAUGAAUUUAUACAAGAAAAGUAAUAAAAAUUUAAGUUGGCAAUCAUAAGACCAUCAUAAGUCAUCUCGCGAGGGGUCUUUAAUAAGUUUACGACAAAAGUUAUGACAAAUCAUAACUUGGGACACUUCCGAAAACAUAUCUUACGACUAUGACAUGUCCUAAAACCAUCACAAGACAUGUCUUAGUCAUAAGAUACUUUCGAAAACCAGGCCCCAGGACGACAAUCUAAAAAUCACACAUGCUUCACCUGCAAAACUGUUAUGCACGAAUGAUUUUGAAGUUUGGAGUAUGAUUGACUUUCUAUCUAGUCUAAAUAUUGUCUAGUUACAAUCAACUCAUUAUUUUGACGUCAGACUCGUUUUUCGUUAACAAAAUAUUCAUCAGUGACGCUGCAAUAAAAACAAAGUUCAAUGUCAUCAUUCAAAACAAUUAAAAUGUUUUUUGUAUAUUUUCCAAUUUGAAUUUAUAUAUAUAUAUAUAUAUCCGUCUAGAUUUAAAAAAAAUAUAUCUUUGGUAGCUUUGUCACUAUUUAUCUAUUAAAUUCUUAUUAUUACUGGUUUAAUUUCAUUAUCAUAUCCUAGAGCACGUGGUCGCUUUUUUGACAACAGAAAAAAAACCCACUUCGUAUGGCUUUUCUCAUAAUUUCCCGUUUCCAUAUUCUUAGAACUAAUCUAACGCACUGUACAGCUAGGAACAAUUAUGGUAGUUUAGGGAAGUACACAUCGUAUAUUAAAAACAUCACUUUCAUUUAAAGAAACUGUAAAAACUCUGAUAUUAAAUGAAUCAGGAUGCUUGAUUUACUAAUUGACAACAUAUGUGGGUACGCACUGUACGUCUCUUCUUGUCCGCUUGUUCUUUUAUUCAUAUGAUGUGAUCAUAUACAGUUACUUUUUUUAGAAGGAAUAAACAGAACAUAGCAUUAUUAAUGAGUUUUACGUCUGCUAUACAUUUUGUGUCGUCUUAUUAAAUAGUAAACUCUUUUUUGUUUUUUGUUUCUUGUUUUUUUUUUUAUAUCUUGAAAGCAUCUACUUGAAGUUGAAAAAAUGAUACAACAUAUACUGUUGAGUCUGCCUUGUGUCUUGACUUAGACCUAGAAGUUGAUGAGGGUUGGAUAAGACCACAAGUUACGAUGUGUUGGAGUCCAAACUCAAUGGCAACCUGUUUUUCUCGGUUGUAGACUUUGAAAUACAAGGAAUGAAAUCUAAACUUUAAUUCUACAUAUUAUGGCAUUUAGACUUAUUUUGCAGGCAUAUUAAGAUUCCAUUACUCUCUCGCCGGAAAUGAGUUCACUACAUUUGGAGUUCAUACCUUGCAAAGAUAAUAGAGCAAAAGAAAAAUGAUAAAAUAAUUACAAAAGUAGAAGCCUAAAACAAGGAGCUUUAUUCACGGGUUUGACACAUGUUCAAAUUUUAACCUCAGCUUUACCUAAAUAAUAAAUAAGUUUUACUUAAAUCUUUCCUUUUUUGUUACAGAAAAUUGGACAACAAUCAAAUAACCAUCAUACAACACGAUUCGUUUCAAGAGCUAACAGCACUUGACACCCUGUAUNNNNNNNNNNNNNNNNNNNNNNNNNNNNNNNNNNNNNNNNNNNNNNNNNNNNNNNNNNNNNNNNNNNNNNNNNNNNNNNNNNNNNNNNNNNNNNNNNNNNNNN
rnacentral:lncRNA from 1 species